rnacentral:rRNA from 1 species
GAUGAACGCUGGCGGCGUGCCUAAUACAUGCAAGUCGAGCGAACAGACGAGGAGCUUGCUCCUCUGACGUUAGCGGCGGACGGGUGAGUAACACGUGGAUAACCUACCUAUAAGACUGGGAUAACUUCGGGAAACCGGAGCUAAUACCGGAUAACAUGUUGAACCGCAUGGUUCAACAGUGAAAGACGGUCUUGCUGUCACUUAUAGAUGGAUCCGCGCCGCAUUAGCUAGUUGGUAAGGUAACGGCUUACCAAGGCAACGAUGCGUAGCCGACCUGAGAGGGUGAUCGGCCACACUGGAACUGAGACACGGUCCAGACUCCUACGGGAGGCAGCAGUAGGGAAUCUUCCGCAAUGGGCGAAAGCCUGACGGAGCAACGCCGCGUGAGUGAAGAAGGUCUUCGGAUCGUAAAACUCUGUUAUUAGGGAAGAACAAAUGUGUAAGUAACUACGCACGUCUUGACGGUACCUAAUCAGAAAGCCACGGCUAACUACGUG